CGGCAUUGCCAAGAAGGGCACGCCCAUCCAGGAGGACCGCGAAGCGUCGACCGACACUGAUGACAGCAAAACCACAUCGGAGUCCGACGAAGACUUUCUGGACUGACGUCCUUGUUGCAGGAGGGCCGAAUGUCAGCCUCCGCUCUAAUCUUCGUAUACUUUUGAAUAGUUUAUAGCAGUAGAUAGAAUGUGAAAUGUUUAUGCUGUAUUAUCUAACAAUUAUAGGAAUCAGAUGUAUCAUAUCACUGUACAGGGUAGGGGAAGGGAGCCUAUUAUGAGUGUCGGCUGACAUAACCUUGUGGGGGGGGGAUUAACGGCUGAGGAUGAAUAACGCGGGUUUUUCCUAACUGAAACUGCAUUCCUCGAAUGACUGACAACUAGAGACCUGUGGAAGAAGAUUACCACGAGGGGCCGAGAAGGAGUUGGCAUUGGACCAGACCAGCCUGACCUCCUGAAGGAGGAGGGACAAUUGGGGGGGAUAUGAUGUGUUAGCCUUAUUCUGUUUCAGAUCCAACUUUAUACGCUGCCAUCAUGACUGUAGCUAGUAAAAGUACUUGUCUUUAA